rnacentral:rRNA from 1 species
GACGAACGCUGGCGGCGUGCCUAAUACAUGCAAGUAGAACGCAGUUGCGAACGGGUGCGUAACGCGUAGGUAACUGCCUGGUAGCGGGGGAUAACUAUUGGCAACGAUAGCUACUACAGCAUACUACCAGAUGGACCUGCGUUGUAUUAGCUAGUUGGUGGGGUAACGGCUCACCAAGGCAACGAUACAUAGCCGACCUGAGAGGGUGAUCGGCCACAAUGUGACUGAGACACGGCCCAGAAUCCUACGGGAGGCAGCAGUAGGGAAUCUUCGGCAAUGGACGGAAGGCUGACCGAGCAACGCCGCGUGAGGGAAGAAGGUUUUCGGAUCGUAAAACUCUGUAGUUAGGGAAGCGGUAUCUAACCAGAAAGCCACGGCUAACUACGUGCCAGCAGCCGCGGUAAUAC